rnacentral:tRNA from 1 species
GAGGGUGUAGCUCAGUCGGUAGAGCACCGGCCUUUUAAGCCGGUUGCCGAGGGUUCGAUUCCCUCCGCCCUCA